rnacentral:sRNA from 1 species
AGCUGCACACAAUAUUGUUGGUUCUUACUGACUGAACUUAUUUUAAGAUUUGGUUGCCUUUUAGGUGAGCCAAUGGUAGCAGCAGAAGUAGGCGUAUGGGAUAACUAUUGUGUAAAGAAACAGCUUCUUCACUCCUGCACUGUGAUUGCCACCAACAUUCUCUUGGUUGAUGAGAUCAUGCGAGCUGGAAUGUCUUCUCUGAAAGGUUGAAUUGAAGCUUCCUCUGUAUCUGAAUCUUGAAGACUGCAAAGUGAUCCUGAGGAAUACAGCUGUGGAAUUUUUGUCCAAGCUUCAAAUAAUUUUCAAAGGAAUUUUCCCAUAUGAAAAAAGGAGAGAACACUGGCAUCUGUUGAAAUUCAGAAGUUCUGAAAUUACAGUAUUUUUAAAAAUUGCACCGAAGUGUAUACACAUAAAGCAGGUCUUUUAUCCAGUGAACAGGAUGUUUUGCUUUAGCAGCAGUGACAUAAAAUUCCAUGUUAGAUAAGCAUAUGUUACUUACCUUGUUAUUAAAUAUUUCUUGAAAAGCAAAUUUUAAUGGUUUAAUUUUAUGUGGACGUAUGUUAAAUUAUCCAACAGUACCCAAUUGUUAAGCAUUUGGUUUUAAAAUUUUUAUGCUAAUAUAAAUGGUUAAGUAAUUUAAAAUAUUGAAAGCAUCCCUGUUGGUAUAAAUUUCUGAGUAAAUGCAUUGGAUCAGUUGGACUUUGAACGCUUUUGAAAUGGCUUUGCUAAAAUGCUCCCGCCACAAAG